rnacentral:rRNA from 1 species
GGUGACGAGCGGCGGACGGGUGAGUAAUGUCUGGGAAACUGCCUGAUGGAGGGGGAUAACUACUGGAAACGGUAGCUAAUACCGCAUAACGUCGCAAGACCAAAGAGGGGGACCUUCGGGCCUCUUGCCAUCAGAUGUGCCCAGAUGGGAUUAGCUAGUAGGUGGGGUAAUGGCUCACCUAGGCGACGAUCCCUAGCUGGUCUGAGAGGAUGACCAGCCACACUGGAACUGAGACACGGUCCAGACUCCUACGGGAGGCAGCAGUGGGGAAUAUUGCACAAUGGGCGCAAGCCUGAUGCAGCCAUGCCGCGUGUGUGAAGAAGGCCUUCGGGUUGUAAAGCACUUUCAGCGAGGAGGAAGGUGGUGAACUUAAUACGUUCAUCA